rnacentral:rRNA from 1 species
UUUCGCAAUGCCCGAAAGGGUGACGAAGCGACGCCGCGUGAGUGAGGAAGGCCUUCGGGUUGUAAAGCUCUGUCAGGAGUUAAGAAAUAUAAGUGUGUUAAUACCACAUUUAUUUGACGAAGGCUCCAAAGGAAGCCACGGCUAACUCUGUGCCAGCAGCCGCGGUAAUACAGAGGUGGCAAGCAUUGUUCGGAAUUAUUGGGCGUAAAGAGCACGUAGGUGGGUUUGUAAGUCAGACGUGAAAGCCUUCUGUUCAACGGAAGAAUUGCAUCUGAAACUGCGAGUCUUGAGUGUAGGAGGGGAGAAUGGAACUUCUGGUGGAGCGGUGAAAUGCGUAGAUAUCAGAAGGAACGCCGGCGGCGAAAGCGAUUCUCUGGCCUAUUACUGACACUCAGUGUGCGAAAGCUAGGGGAGCAAACGGGAUUAGAUACCCCGGUAGUCCUAGCUGUAAACGAUGGGCACUAAGUAGAGGGGUUUUA